GACGAACGCUGGCGGCGUGCUUAACACAUGCAAGUCGAGCGGUAAGGCCCUUUCGGGGGUACACGAGCGGCGAACGGGUGAGUAACACGUGGGUGACUUGCCCUCAGCUCUGGGAUAAGCCUGGGAAACCGGGUCUAAUACUGGAUAUGACUCCAUGACGCAUGUUGUGGGGUGGAAAGCCUUGUGCGGCUGAGGAUGGGCCCGCGGCCUAUCAGCUUGUUGGUGGGGUGANGGCCUACCAAGGCGACGACGGGUAGCCGGCCUGAGAGGGCGACCGGCCACACUGGGACUGAGACACGGCCCAGACUCCUACGGGAGGCAGCAGUGGGGAUCUGCGCAAUGGGCGAAAGCCUGACGCAGCGACGCCGCGUGA
rnacentral:rRNA from 1 species